CGAACGGGUGAGUAACGCGUGAGUAACCUGCCCUGGAGUGGGGGACAACAGUUGGAAACGACUGCUAAUACCGCAUAAGCCCACGGAUCCGCAUGGAUCUGCGGGAAAAGGAUUUAUUCGCUUCAGGAUGGACUCGCGUCCAAUUAGCUAGUUGGUGAGGUAACGGCCCACCAAGGCGACGAUUGGUAGCCGGACUGAGAGGUUGAACGGCCACAUUGGGACUGAGACACGGCCCAGACUCCUACGGGAGGCAGCAUG
rnacentral:rRNA from 1 species